UCCUGACAGGUGGUCCUCUCACUUGAAAGGU
rnacentral:piRNA from 1 species